CCUCCUACAGCUUAUAUUUGACCAUAUCCCUGCAUUCUUUUGCCUGCUGUCUUCCACUGCCACCACAGGUUUCUUCACUGGGACAAGAGAGUUGCCUGGCUCAUGGCCCUGAUUUUAGGGUCAGAUCAUUACUCAUCAGCUCUACCAGUUAAGCGGCAGGUGACCUUGUCAAGCUCCUGGAAUGGUCCUGCCCACAUCAGGAUGGAUCUUCUCACUUCAGAUUUUUUCCUCCUAUUUUAUGAAGACUGGUUCAGUGGCCACUGUUUGCCCUCUGAAUACACCUUUGAGAUCACACCUUCCUAACCAUGUGGCUGAGAAAUUCUGAGUAAAGGAAGUAUUCUAAGGACUGGUCCCAUUAGACUUCAUGAACAUCCGGAGCCUGAAGGGAAAACUGAGGAGAAAAUGGAGUGUUCUUGCCAUACUUGGCCUGGGGGCCAACAUCUGAGACUUCUAGAGCUUAGCAUGCACUUUUGCACAUGAGUCAAGCCAGGACCAAGAGACGUCAAGCUGUGAGUGUGUUGGUCAUUGGAAACAGCAGAUUCCAAACAGCUGCCUCACUAACCCAUUCCUUCAGAGGCCUCAUUUGUGCCAGCUACUUGUCUCUGUCAUCUGAUCCUGCCCGGCUCUGCAGCACAGAUGUGAAAUACAAAGAGAACAUGCCAUUGGAUUUCAUUUCUAAAAGUGGAUCCUAUGCAGUUUACCAUGGGUUGUUUAAAAUAUGAAUGCCCUCAUCUCCAAAGGGUUCCUGUAGCUUCCUGUAGCAGCAGCUCUGGGCAGUGGAGUGUGCCUGCAAGUUACUCCUGGCUGUGAAACCAUUACACAUGAUUGCAGUUUGGGGCUUGCUUGAGGGCAGCAGCUUGUAGGUGCUUGGUUUAGUUCAUUUCAGAGUUGCUUGGGAUUGGGAGUCACUAGAAAACCUGAUUUAUUCAUCAGGAUAUCAGGAGCUCCCAGAAGUCAGGACAUAUAGCUUACUUGCUCUUCCUUCCAGCAUAGGGGGCAGACAUAGAGGAGAUUUUUGUUUUAAAAAUAAGAUUACAUCUUUACUGAGGUACAGUCAUGAAGAGUCAACCACAUGCAUUUCAAGCAUUCUACUUGAUGGCUUUUGGUAGAUGCCAACACCCAGGAAACCAAUACCAUAGUCAAAAUUGUGAACACACCCACCAGCCUCAGGUAUUCUUAGGAACCUAUAUUAGCCUCUCCACCUUCUCUCACCAUUCCCAGACAACCUCUCGUCUAUUUCUGCCACUACAGGUUAGGCUGCAUUCUCUAGAACUUUAUACCAACAGUCACACACAUGUUCUCUAGUUUUUGGUCUGUUUAUUUUCACUGAGCAUAUAACUACCUUGAAACUCACUGAUACAUUAAUAGUUUCUCCAUUGUAUGAAUCCCAAUAGGCACUUACUGUUUCUUCACAGACCUGGAAAUUAAUCCUUAAAGAUAUAAUUGGGAAGAAGAGAUGAGGCAAUGGGUUCCAGUCUAUUCUGAGUGAGAAGUCUCACUCAGGAAAACAUAAUAUAAUUGGGAAGUGAGUAGGCAUGGGGGAUGUCUUUCUUGUUGUCUGAUAUCUGUUACAUGUCUUCUACCAUAACUGACCUCUGGUUGGGCACAGAACUAUUUGGAAUAAAGAUUCUAUUUGCCGGCCUUCUGUGAAGGUAAGUGUGGUUAUGUGACAGAAUUGUGGUUGACAUAAUGGAAGCAGGAGAGUGUGAAAUUUUUUAGAAGUCUCCUCGAAGGAGGAAGGAUUUGCUCCUCUUUGUAUUCUCACUGCCUGGCAUGCAGCCAUAAUGUCUCGUGAUCAAGCAGCCAUUUUGGACCAGAAAGAACCUCAAGAAUGGGAAUCAUUCAUGGCAGAGAAAUAAUGAAGAACAGGCCUGGGUUUCUGAUACUGUAGAGUGCCACACCAGACCUGAGCUAAUGGCUUCCAGACUUGGUGACUGUGGGAGAGAAAUAGCAUUCUCUUGUUUACUUUCUCCUCCCCGAGAUGAGUUCUCUUCGGUGCCUUUCUGUUUCUUGCCACAGAAAAGGUCUGGGGGUACAGUGGUGAGUUGAGAGCAAGUCAGGAUGGAAACGACAGAGCGAGGUAGAGUGAGAAGCACUCUAGGGUGAGUGCCAAGAUACUCGCAUCAUGUGAUGUGAUGUGACAUCUAGCUCUACAGCAGGGGGAGAUCUGACUAGAAGUGUGAUAUCAGCUGGUGGAACAGCUUCUUGUGAGCUCUGGAGAAUCAUUCCUUUAUUUAUUAGUUUUAUUAUUUUUUAAAUCUAGACAUGGAAAUUACUUCCAUGAAUGGGCACCAUCUGGUGUCUCUAUUCAUGUGUACGCUGUGUCAU